GGUUUACGUCCCAAAAGACUCACACAGUCUGAAACAAUCAACCAGGAAGAAAAUCAACAACGUGUGUACACAGCUCUUUCCCACGGUGAUCGUUGUGUUUAUGAGACAAUGAGGCCUCUGAAGAUGCUGGGCCAAGUAAAGUAUGACAAUGAUGAGCCAUGAAAGUAGCGGAAUGACUCUGGGAUUUCACGUAAUUCAAU